AUUGAACGCUGGCGGCAGGCCUAACACAUGCAAGUCGAGCGGAUGAAGGGAGCUUGCUCCUGGAUUCAGCGGCGGACGGGUGAGUAAUGCCUAGGAAUCUGCCUGGUAGUGGGGGAUAACGUCCGGAAACGGGCGCUAAUACCGCAUACGUCCUGAGGGAGAAAGUGGGGGAUCUUCGGACCUCACGCUAUCAGAUGAGCCUAGGUCGGAUUAGCUAGUUGGUGGGGUAAAGGCCUACCAAGGCGACGAUCCGUAACUGGUCUGAGAGGAUGAUCAGUCACACUGGAGCUGGGACACGGUCAAGACUCCUGCGGGAGGCAGCAGUGGGGAAUAUGGGACAGUGGGCGAAAGCCUGAUCCAGCCGUGCGGCGUGUGUGAAGAAGGUCUUCGGAUUGUGAAGCACUUUAAGUUGGGAGGAAGGGCAGUAAGUUAAUACCUUGCUGUUUUGACGUUACCAGCAGAAGAAGCACCGGCUAACUUCGUG
rnacentral:rRNA from 1 species